rnacentral:lncRNA from 1 species
AUGAUUUCUUUGUCUUUGUUUUUCAACAGAGUCUCUUUAUUGAAUCCACAAGAGAAGAAAAACUUAGAUGGAGCAGGAAAAGGAAGGCAUCUUUUCCCCUGGGUACUGUACAUUUCCACUUUCGUGAGGCACUGCUCCAUCCUUUUUCUCACAGCCACCAACUCCUUUGUCGGAUAUAAAGACCAUGUUUUCAAUCCAUGAAGGUCACUGUGAAUUCUAAUUUUGUCCUUCAUCAGACUUGUAGCUGUCCGAGCUUAGCAUCAUCUGGAAAUGUAGUAAGCAUGCUUUCUAAGACUCAUCAGGCUGCUAAUGUACAGCGGAGUGGUGACUGCCUGGUCUGGAGCAAGAGUUAAGACUGCAUCCAGACUCUGAUACUUUGUUAAUAGCUAGUGGAAGAAUUUUCUGACGCUAUGCUGAAUAAAUCUAUCUUUUAGUUAUUCA